ensembl:lncRNA
UAGUGUGUGGUUCUCUCUUGGAAUAUUUUUCAGGUGAUUUAAUAAAACUUAAUACUACUAUAGGAGCUUCAGAACAAAGGAGGUGGCUUAAUGAUCCUGAAGGGAUUUCUUCUGGUGGUAGCUUUUGUAUUAUCAAGCUUUUUUCAGAAAGAAAAAGACAAAACGAAAAUAAAAAAAAAAAAGAAGAGUCUUCUCCAACACCACAGUUCAAAAAGGCGCUCAGCCUUCUUCACAGUCCAACUCUCACAUCAUACAUGACCAUUGGAAAAACCAUAGCCUUGACUAGACGGACCUUUGUUGGCAAAUGAGGUCCAGCCUAUCUCCGUCAGUCCCUGGUGAGAACUUGUUCUAUAUACAGGCUCCAAUGUGGUGAAUCAACUUCCAUUGUCAAUUUUGUGCUGCAUUUAAGUGAGCUGCUGCUCCUGAUGAUUCUCCCCACCACACCCUUGUACCAUCUCAAUUAGUUCUCAAGCUUUAAACUGCAUUGAUAUCUUGAUGACUCCUAUAAGUACAUCUCUAGCCCAGAACACUUCUACUGGGAACUCCAGUUUCUAGCAUCCAACCAGCUACAGGUUAUGUCAAGUUCAUAUGUGCAUAAUGGAGUUCUUAGCGAUGGAACGCUACAUCACUUCUGAACAAGCGAUAAGACAUUUCUCCUCCUGUGGGAAGAAGGAAACAAGGAAAAGAAAAAACAACAGGAUGUCUCUUCAGGAAUCCUUCUCAGUUCUACCUACACAAGAGGGAAUAAGUGCCCUGUGAGCCCUGGCAACAACCGUCUUCACAUGAGGAAUUGCUCUGCUCUGUGAAAGGGCUGGAAAAGGUUAGAUCAGGACAGCAUCUACCCUGAUGAAGUCAGGAUGGCACAGCCCAUGACAAAGAUUCUCAUUUUCCCACAUUUCUAUUGAAGAUCAAUCACUUUUCUCACCUGUAGUUGUUUUGUUUUGUUUUUUUUUUUAUGUUCUGUUAACAUAAAAAAUCUAGUUGAUGUCAAAUCUCAUGGGCCUGAAAGCUUUCUGCCUUUCAAAACACUCUACAUGUCUCUAUUCUCAUCCAUUAUUAUAUCUCAAUCUUAAUUCCCUCAAUUCCAAAUCCAUAAAGGAUAACACAGUCCCACCAGCAUCAUAUGAGAAGUACUGAAUAGACUCCAUGGAGAUAAAACCCCACCACAAGGCAGACAGGUUCUUUUCUGUUACAUUCUCCUGGGAACUUUCAUUUAAUAGUAGUAAUUGCUUUCCUUUUAUAGAUAUGUCUAGCUUGCAGUUUAAUUUUUUAAAAUUAAAAAAAUAAUUGUUUAGUAAUAAAUACAUGAGUGCUGAGCUUAUUUUUAAGCAGUUCAGAACAGUCACUCAGUCAUGUCCAACUCUUUGUGACCCUGUAGACAGCAGCACACAAGGCUUCCCUGUACAUCAAGGAAAGGUUAAAAUAAAAGUCAAAAAACUGGUUAAUUCUGGGAGUAGAAGUGGGGAAAUGAAACUGGUAUGGAGCACAGGGUACUUUCCAAGUACAGUUAAUCUGCAUUGUUGGGUACAGUGGUGUUUCUUGUUAUUAUGCAUACACUAGUUAUAUAUUUUAAUAUAUAUAUGAAUAGUACAUUUCAAAAAUAAAAAAUAGCUUAUUCAU